AUUGAACGCUGGCGGCAGGCCUAACACAUGCAAGUCGAGCGGGGUUUUCGGACCUAGCGGCGGACGGGUGAGUAAUGCGUAGGAAGCUGCCCGAUAGAGGGGGAUACCAGUUGGAAACGACUGUUAAUACCGCAUAAUGUUUACGGACCAAAGUGUGGGACCUUCGGGCCACAUGCUAUCGGAUGCGCCUACGUGGGAUUAGCUAGUUGGUGAGGUAAUGGCUCACCAAGGCGACGAUCUCUAGCUGGUUUGAGAGGAUGAUCAGCCACACUGGAACUGGGACACGGUCCAGACUCCUACAGGAGGCAGCAGUGGGGAAUAUUGGACAAUGGGCGCAAGCCUGAUCCAGCCAUGCCGCGUGUGUGAAGAAGGCCUUCGGGUUGUAAAGCACUUUCAGCGAGGAGGAAGGGGUGUGUGUUAAUAGUACACACCUUUGACGUUACUCGCAGAAGAAGCACCGGCUAACUCUGUGCCAGCCGCCGCGGUAACAC
rnacentral:rRNA from 1 species